AGUCAAUAGAUACCCUGGUAGUCCCAGCUGUAAACGAUGCGCGUUAGGUGUAUCGGUGACCACGAGUCACCGAGGUGCCGAAGGGAAACCGUGAAACGUGCCGCCUGGGAAGUACGGACGCAAGGCUGAAACUUAAAGGAAUUGGCGGGGGAGCACCACAACAGGUGGAGCCUGCGGUUUAAUUCGGACUCAACGCCGGGAAGCUCACCGGAUAAGACAGCUGAAUGAUAGCCGGGUUGAAGACUCUGCUUGACUAGCUGAGAGGAGGUGCAUGGCCGUCGUCAGUUCGUACUGUGAAGCAUCCUGUUAAGUCAGGCAACGAGCGAGACCCACGCCAACAGUUGCCAGCAUGUCCUCCGGGAUGGUGGGGACACUGUUGGGACCGCCUCUGCUAAAGAGGAGGAAGGAAUGGGCAACGGUAGGUCAGCAUGCCCCGAAUUAUCCGGGCUACACGCGGGCUACAAUGGUCAGGACAAUGGGUAUCAACACCGAAAGGUGAAGGCAAUCU
rnacentral:rRNA from 1 species